GGGAAGCCGAAAGCAAAGUCAUGAUAGCUGAUGUCCAUUGGUAUGAGACCUUCUGGGAUGCCUAAAGCAAAGUCACAAUAGUUGAUGCUUAAAGUGGACAAUAUCAUACCAUUGUAAAGAGUUGUGUUCGUCUAAAAAAAAUUUAAGAGAAA